UACGAAGGGAGCUAGCGUUGUUCGGAAUCACUGGGCGUAAAGCGCACGUAGGCGGAUGUGUCAGUCAGGGGUGAAAUCCUGGAGCUCAACUCCAGAACUGCCUUUGAUACUGGGGAUCUCGAGUCCGGGAGAGGUGAGUGGAACUCCGAGUGUAGAGGUGAAAUUCGUAGAUAUUCGGAAGAACCCCAGUGGCGAAGGCGGCUCACUGGCCCGGUACUGACGCUGAGGUGCGAAAGCGUGGGGAGCAAACAGG
rnacentral:rRNA from 1 species